GCCGCUCCACAUUGCUCGCAUUACCGCCUGAGCUCCGCCUCCUGUCAGCAUUAUGACACACACAGGGAGAACACUACAUAAACUUGAAGGCAGAUAGCAAGGUGAUGCUUCUACAAGCCAAGGAACGCCAAAGAUUGCCUGCAAACCCUCAGAAGCUAGAAGAAAGGCAUGGAACAAAUCCUUCCAUCACAGUCCUCAGAGAGAACCAACUCUGCUGACACCUUGAUCUCGUUCUAGCCUCCAGAAAAGAUGGAGGCUUCCUCAACUGGAAACAGCUAAGAGAUGGAGCAAAGCCCCAGGAUCCUUGGCAGCAGAGGGCAAAUAAGGAAGAUGUAAAAGUAGUCCUCGAAGGGUCUUACACUGGAGUGCAUGCCCUGGUCCGGCUGCCCCCCGAUCCGUGUUGCUCCAGGUGCCACCCAGGCCACGCCGAGCUGCUGUGGGAAGAAGACCGUGGAUGGGGCCAUUUUGAUUUCAUGUACUUGAUGAUUUUUAGCCAGAAUGUCUGUGAAUGAAAUUAUAACAAUUAGGUGAAUUAAACUGUUUUUAAAGCAAUGAUCCUUUUUCCCCCCCCGCAGCAGAGUUUAAAGCUCAAGAAGAGAAUUUAUAUUUGAGCCAAUAAGAAGAAACCAAAGAAUUGAUAAGAAGCUUGGCAUGAGACCAAGGUCUUCCAAUCUUCCAAAGGCAAAAAACUAGAUUCUAAAAAGGAGCAGGGAAUUGCCAUUCUUUGGCAAUAUGCUCAUUUUGAAAUAAUAUUUCUUUUUCUGCCAAAACUGUUGUUUCCAAAUUUGGGGAUUUUUGUAUCGAAUGCCCUUUAAAUUUCAAAAGUUUUUUUUUUUUUUAAACAUUGCAAUAAAACUGGAAAAAUCUAUAGAUUUACCUUGAUUUUAAAGAAUAUAAUUUUGUGUUUCAUUCUGUAGUGAUACAUGCAGUUUUUACAGAGUGCAAAGUUGGAAAUUUGGUGUACAGCAAGUAUUUGGAUUUUUACACUAAAACCAAAAAUGCUAAAUACUAUGCAAAUGUGAUAAAACAUGGGAUUUCAAUUGCAAUUAAAGUGUAUUAUAAUGGGAAAAAAUAGUGUCUUUUAAGAAGAAAAUAGUUCUAGCAGGACCCUGGACUUAUAUGAACCUAUAUAAUUUUCCUCUUGAACAUUCUGAGUAAGAUUCACUUUACAGUCAGUGUUUAUUUUUUGUUUUUGGUUUUUCCUUUCAUAUGCUUUAAAAUAUUAUAAUAUUUUAAAUUGGCUUGGGGGAAUUUGAACUCUUAUAAUUUUAAAGUAACCGAUAUUUGUAUUUAUUCAGUGACUUCUGAGAAUUUGCAAUUCUACACUAUGUUUAUCUGUAAUUAAAAUAAGGAUCCUGAUAAUGUGAAUUUCACCCAGGAAUCUUUUGAA